UGGGGAAUUUUGGAUAAUGGGGGAAACCCUGAUCCAGCCAUCCCGCGUGUGCGAUGAAGGCCUUCGGGUUGUAAAGCACUUUUGGCUGGAAAGAAACGUCAUGGGUUAAUACCCCGUGAAACUGACGGUACCUGCAGAAUAAGCACCGGCUCACUACGUGCCAGCAGCCGCGGUAAUACGUAGGGUGCAAGCGUUAAUCGGAAUUACUGGGCGUAAAGCGUGCGCAGGCGGUUCGGAAAGAAAGAUGUGAAAUCCCAGAGCUCAACUUUGGAACUGCAUUUUUAACUACCGGGCUAGAGUGUGUCAGAGGGAGGUGGAAUUCCGCGUGUAGCAGUGAAAUGCGUAGAUAUGCGGAGGAACACCGAUGGCGAAGGCAGCCUCCUGGGAUAACACUGACGCUCAUGCACGAAAGCGUGGGGAGCAAACAGG
rnacentral:rRNA from 1 species